rnacentral:rRNA from 1 species
UACGAAGGGGGCUAGCGUUGUUCGGAAUUACUGGGCGUAAAGCGUGCGCAGGCGGCUUCUCAAGUCAGGGGUGAAAGCCCAGAGCUCAACUCUGGAAUUGCCUUUGAGACUGAGUGGCUUGAGUACGAGAGAGGUGAGUGGAAUUCCUGGUGUAGCGGUGAAAUGCGCAGAUAUCAGGAAGAACACCCGUGGCGAAAGCGGCUCUCUGGAACGGUACUGACGCUGAGACGCGAAAGCGUGGGGAGCGAACAGG